rnacentral:rRNA from 1 species
CCUACGGGUGGCUGCAGUGGGGAAUAUUGGACAAUGGGCGAAAGCCUGAUCCAGCCAUGCCGCGUGUGUGAAGAAGGCCUUCGGGUUGUAAAGCACUUUCAGUGGGGAAGAAAGCCUUGGGGCUAAUACCCUCGAGGAAGGACAUCACCCACAGAAGAAGCACCGGCUAACUCCGUGCCAGCAGCCGCGGUAAUACGGAGGGUGCGAGCGUUAAUCGGAAUUACUGGGCGUAAAGCGCGCGUAGGCGGUCUGAUAAGCCGGUUGUGAAAGCCCCGGGCUCAACCUGGGAACGGCAUCCGGAACUGUCAGGCUAGAGUGCAGGAGAGGAAGGUAGAAUUCCCGGGGUAGCGGUGAAAGGCGUAGAGAUCGGGAGGAAUACCAGUGGCGAAGGCGGCCUUCUGGACUGACACUGACGCUGAGGUGCGAAAGCGUGGGUAGCAAACAGGAUUAGAUACCGAGUAGUC